GGAGGGAUGGCCGAGUGGACGAAGGCGGCGGUCUUGAAAACCGCUAUCUGCGCAAGUGGAUCGUGGGUUCGAAUCCCACUCCCUCCGCCA
rnacentral:tRNA from 1 species